rnacentral:lncRNA from 1 species
GAUUCCUACAGUAAGUUUGGAGUUAUACAAACUGUAAUUCCCUGGAAUGUUACUGGUAGAAAUCCUUCCUCUCCCAGACAGAACAAUAUUGUAGGAUCUAAGAAAGAUGUGUUUCUGAGAAGCAGCAUUUGCAAGUUCCUAAAUCAAAUGUCAGAUCCAUUUCGAACAUUGUCUGGAAAGAAAAUAAAUCCAAAAGUUCUCACCAGUGGUUAGCUAGAAGUUUCCCUGAUUGUUUCAGAAGUGUGUGCAAGGAUACAGCUCUGAGUCAGCCGUCUCUAACAUCCUUGGGAGAACAACUGAAGCUGAACCCAUCAUUUUGAUUGUUGCCAGUCAUCCCACGCAGACAUGUGUAUGUAGUAGGAGACUGUGAGUGCUAUGCCCAGCACCUUCAAGAAGCACGGGACCUCCAACUCAUGCUUCCCUUCACUUUCCAAGUAGAAACAAGAGCGGCAACUUGAGAGUUUGUUCACACAGUAACAAACCCCUGCUUACACCCACCUCAUUCUGUUCUUUGCCAGCAAGGGAACCCCUGUGUGCUGCAGUCAAGCUCCCACCAGGUCUCCUUGUACCUCGUGGUCUCAACUGGACCCACAGCAGGGAAGCCAGACACCACAGGGAAGCCAGUUUCACGAACAGCAAAGCAGAGAAACAAGAACAAUGAACAAGAUGUAUUGAAUAUUAGAAAUCCACAGAUGCUUGCAGAGGUCCUAGACAAUUUUUUUAUAUUAAAAAAAAAAUCACAAAACAUUUUCUUUUCCAAGGUUCUGAUCAUUCCUUCUCUCUAUGAAACAAAAUGAGCACCAGGAAAGAAUACAAAUAGAACCCAUCUUUCUGAUCAUUUCCAAAAGGAAAGCAGAGGAAGCAGCCAUAAUUGGAAAAAAAAACCUGAACCCUGCUAUUGAUACAUGAAGGAAAGAGUAUGCAAGGCAUAUUUUUGAGGGAAAGCUUGGAAGUCAAUAUUUUGCUCUGUUUUUUUUUUUGUUUUUUUUUGUUUUUUUUUUUCUUUCUCCUUUCAAAUCCUUUCCUCCAAAGUCAUUUCUUUCUUUGCUGUUUCUGUGUUGGCUGAGGCUGGGUUUUGUCAUCUUCCAGCUUUACCUGUGGUCUGUCAGUGGUUUUGAAAAGCAGCUCCAGACCCUCACUACUUCAGCCUUCUAUAUCUAUCUCAGUCAUGAUGGUCUACUUUAUAUUUCAGGCUCUCUUCAUACCUGCAAAGCUAACUUUGAGAAAAUGUGAGGGCUUCAGUCACGUUCUUUUCUGG